rnacentral:rRNA from 1 species
CCUACGGGAGGCAGCAGUGGGGAAUUUUGGACAAUGGGCGCAAGCCUGAUCCAGCAAUGCCGCGUGAGUGAAGAAGGCCUUCGGGUUGUAAAGCUCUUUUGUCAGGGAAGAAACGGUGGGAGCUAAUAUCUCCCGCUAAUGACGGUACCUGAAGAAUAAGCACCGGCUAACUACGUGCCAGCAGCCGCGGUAAUACGUAGGGUGCAAGCGUUAAUCGGAAUUACUGGGCGUAAAGCGUGCGCAGGCGGUUUUGUAAGUCUGUCGUGAAAGCCCCGGGCUCAACCUGGGAAUUGCGAUGGAGACUGCAAGGCUUGAAUCUGGCAGAGGGGGGUAGAAUUCCACGUGUAGCAGUGAAAUGCGUAGAGAUGUGGAGGAACACCGAUGGCGAAGGCAGCCCCCUGGGUCAAGAUUGACGCUCAUGCACGAAAGCGUGGGGAGCAAACAGGAUUAGAUACCCUGGUAAUCCACGCCCUAAACGAUGUCUACUAGUUGUCGGGUUUUAAUUAACUUGGUAACGCAGCUAACGCGUGAAGUAGACCGCCGUGGGGAGUACGGUCGCGAAGAUUAAACGUUACUAAAUUAGAAUUGACCGGCGNGNGAGNGCGACGACGACGACGACGGGAGGAGG